rnacentral:rRNA from 1 species
GCAAGUCGAACGGUAACAGGCAGAGCUUGACUCUGUGCGACGAGUGGCGGACGGGUGCGUAACACGUAGGAAUCUGCCUAGUAGUUGGGGAUAGCCCGGAGAAAUCCGGAUUAAUACCGAAUACGAUCUACGGAUGAAAGGGGGCCUCUUCUUGAAAGACUCUCGACUAUUAGAUGAGCCUGCGUCGGAUUAGCUAGUUGGUGGGGUAAUGGCCUACCAUGGCAACCGAUCCGUAGACUGGUCUGAGAGGACGAUCAGCCACCACUGGGACUGAGACACGGCCCAGACUCCUACGGGAGGCAGCAGUGGGGAAUAUUGGACAAUGGGCGAAAGCCUGAUCCCAGCAUGCCGCGUGUGUGAAGAAGGCCUGCGGGUUGUAAAGCACUUUCCAAUUGUGAAGAAAUGCUUAAGGUUAAUACCCUGAGUCUUGACGUAACUUAGAAGAAGCACCGGCUAAACCCUGUGCCAGCACCCGCGGUAAUACAGGGGGUGCAAGCGUAAAUCGGAAUACUGGGCGUAAGAGUGCCUAGGCGUACUAAGUAAUGUA